rnacentral:rRNA from 1 species
GCGUGCCUAACACAUGCAAGUCGAACGGGGUUUAUUCCUUCGGGAGUAAACCUAGUGGCGAACGGGUGAGUAACGCGUGAGGAACCUGCCUUUCAGUGGGGGACAACAGUUGGAAACGACUGCUAAUACCGCAUAAUGCAGCGAGGUCGCAUGAUCCUGCUGCCAAAGAUUUAUUGCUGAAAGAUGGCCUCGCGUCUGAUUAGAUAGUUGGUGAGGUAACGGCCCACCAAGUCUGCGAUCAGUAGCCGGACUGAGAGGUUGAACGGCCACAUUGGGACUGAGAUACGGCCCAGACUCCUACGGGAAGGGCAGCAGUUGGGGAAUUAUUAGGCAAUGGGGGGAAACCCUUACCUAGCAACGCCCGCCUGAAGGAAGAAGGCUUUCGGGUUGUAAACUUCUUUUUACCAGGGACGAAGGACGUGACGGUACCUGGGAGAAAAAAGCCACGGCUAAUUACGUGCCAGCAGCCGCGGUUAUACGUAGGUGGCAAGCGUUGUCCGGAUUUACUGGGUGUAAAGGGCGUGUAGGCGGAAAGGCAAGUCAGAAGUGAAAUCCCCGGGCUUAACCCCGGGAACUGCUUUUGAAACUGUCUUCCUUGAGUAUCGGAGAGGCAGGCGGAAUUCCUAGUGUAGCGGUGAAAUGCGUAGAUAUUAGGAAGAACACCGGUGGCGAAGGCGGCCUGCUGGACGACAACUGACGCUGAGGCGCGAAAGCGUGGGGAGCAAACAGGAUUAGAUACCCUGGUAGUCCACGCUGUAAACGAUGAAUACUAGGUGUGGGGAGGACUGACCCUUUCCGUGCCGCAGUUAACACAAUAAGUAUUCCACCUGGGGAGUACGAUCGCAAGAUUGAAACUCAAAGGAAUUGACGGGGGCCCGCACAAGCAGUGGAUUAUGUGGUUUAAUUCGACGCAACGCGAAGAACCUUACCAGGAUUUGACAUCCCACUAACGAAGCAGAGAUGCAUUAGGUGCCCUUCGGGGAAAGUGGAGACAGGUGGUGCAUGGUUGUCGUCAGCUCGUGUCGUGAGAUGUUGGGUUAAGUCCCGCAACGAGCGCAACCCCUAUUGUUAGUUGCUACGAAAGAGCACUCUAGCGAGACUGCCGUUGAUAAAACGGAGGAAGGCGGGGACGACGUCAAAUCAUCAUGCCCCUUACGUCCUGGGCUACACACGUAAUACAAUGGCGAUCAACAAAGGGAAGCAAAGCUGUGAAGUGGAGCAAAUCCCCAAAAGUCGUCUCAGUUCGGACUGCAGUCUGCAACUCGACUGCACGAAGUCGGAAUUGCUAGUAAUCGUGGAUCAGCAUGCCACGGUGAAUNCGUUCCCGGGCCUUGCCCUCAACGCCCGUCA